GGGGGAGAAGGGAACGAGCGAGAGAAGUUCUGCUUGAGGGGUGCGGCCGCGGGGAUCGGCCUGGAGGCUGCGUCCCUGCACCGUCUGUUUGCACGGAGAUGAUUAUUUUCAGUAUAUAUAUAUAUAUAUAUUCUUUUCCUGGCUUUUAAGCACGUUUCGCAACGCACGCCCCCGAUUCACACACAGCCUGGCUGGGGCGGGGGGGGGGCUCCGCUGGCGUCGGCGGAAACGCGCCCCGCGUUUUUCUCCAGGAAGCGGCUGCUGAAGAAAAGUGUCUCGUGUAAUUUAUUUCUGUUUUACGAAAGAAGCGAGCUACCCCCAACCCCGCUCCUCACAACACGAACGCAUCGGAGCCGCCUCAGCGUGCGCGGCCCCGCGGGGCGCGGCCCGGCCCCGGCGCCUCAGCGCGGGCUGUGGGACGGCGGGACGGGCGCUGAGUUUUCUGCUCGCACAGUGACGCUGACAGAUUUCUUUUUCCUCUCGGUGUAUCCAGUCAUACACAGACUAAAAAAAAAGCCUUUUCUACAAUGAUUUGCACGUCAACUUUCACCCGUCAGUGCUUUUUGGAAAAUGGGAUUCUUCCCUGUGGAAAAAAAUAAACAGAAAAUACGAGGGUUUGCUGCACGCAGAACACGCCCCAACCUCCCAGGCGGCCCGGGCACCCUUCCCAUCCCUGUGGAGCCGCACCCCGUGCAGGGCAGGGAGACUUGUCCCAUUAAAAUGACUCUUGAAGUAGUGACUCUAAUAAUAAUAAUCUGUGAUUCCUUCCCGUUCUGUUGCAGGGCGUGCAGCAGUGUCCCCCUGCCAGCCUCUGGGCACCCUCAGGUCCCCGCUGUAAGAGGUGAAAUGUUGCCUGGACAGCCCUGAAGUUGGAGGUCCAAGGCAUCCAGCUUCGUUUGUCGCAGAGAAAACACUGCAGGCAAAAAGGAGGGUAAGAAUGAGGGCAGCGAGGCGGCAAGAGCUGGCAAAGCAAAUGCUGGCAGUGCAGGGCCAGCGGGCUGUGAACACUGGUCGCCUUCCAGGGGAAUUAUCAAGUGGUGCUGCAUGCCAUGGAAGUGUGCAGCAAUGGGCAGAAGGACUGUGCUGUUCUUGACUCCAAAAGUUUGACUCCACUUGUGGUACAAGAAAACAUUCCUGGAGUUGAGUUUGGGGCAUUAAAACAGGCGUGGGGGGAAGAGUUACUUUCUUUGUCCACCUCCCUUUUGCAGCCACUUCCCUGUGCAAUCUUGGGAAAAUCUUGUCUGCCUCGGUUUCGCCCUCUAUAAAAUGGGAAUAAGUCAUGACAGACCCCUCCUUUUAGAUGCCUGGAUCAAAGGUACUAUAUAAGUACAAAGUGCUCCUUCUAUAGGGUAUUAUUGCCAAAUUCGCUAUAAGCAAUUCCAUUGGGUACUUGAUAACAACAGUAGAAUCAGUCAAACGCCCUUGAUGCAUUCAUCGCAUGGUCCCAGAUACCUUUCAGAGCCUCUUUGUGUGCCAUCCUACCCCCUGAGGUCCACGAGGAUGGGGCUUUUGGAGCCUGGAUUCUGCAGGAGCAGGAGGGGUAUGGUAAGCAUCUUCUGGCCCCUGAACCGUGGACCGCUUUUCUUUUUGACCUGGUGAGGACUACUGGAACUAGCCCUUUCACAAACAGGUUUUGAACAUGCAACUUUAUAUAUAUUUAUAUAUAUGAAAUUGUAACACCUAUAGUACAUAGUGCUAGACUCUUGUUGAAUUUUCACUGUUUUAGUCUUGCGUGGUUCAUUGUCAUUUUAAUCUGCAUUUGUUUCACUGCGGAGUGCUUAGGCUGCUUUCAGAUCUAGGCACAUUGCUGAUAGAAAUUUGGUUCAUUUCAGCUUUGAAAUUUGUAGUUGUUAGGGAGCUAACCAUUUUCUAAAAUUAAACUUAAGAAAAAAAAAAAACACCCACAAACCUACACCAGGGAAACUAAUAUCUUAAUUGCUGGAACUGUUGCCAUUAUAAUUAACUCUAUCAUGUAAUUCCAUUCUUUCUUCAGUUUUAAAAUUCUCUAAAAGACAUUUUCUACUUAUGAUUUUUCAAAAAUAGUGUUUUAUGGUCCAGUAUUAAAAAUAGAAGAGUGGAUGUUAUAUCGGAUAUCAUAGCGUGGAGCUUCCAUGAGUAAAUUCACAAACAUCCCAGUGAUUCUUCCUCCUCUGCUCUUCUCCCCCCACUCCAAGAAGCACUGAGGGUGAAUAUGCAGCUUCAGAAGUUUCCUUAGAGCUCUUUUAUACUUUAAUAGGUUUGUUUUGGUGACUAUAUGCCAGACGAGUAUGCUGCAGACAUAUUUUUUUUCAAAAGGUCAAGCAGUCUUCUAACAUGUCCAUUGUGUAUCCUGCAGUAAGAAAUCCUCAGUGCAAAGGAGAGCUUCAUGGUUAAAUUUUAAAAGAUAAUGAUUUAAAUCUUUUUGUUAUAGCCUUUCUUCUUUCUUUCUUUCUUUUUUUUUAACAUCCUUAGCACUGCUUUUGGAGCGUCAACUUCUAACACUGUAGAAAGCAGGAAGCCCAUUAAAAAUAACAAACAGCUAAAGGUAAACUUAGUUGGUCACCUUUCCCUCUGAAAUCCUGGUGUUUGGCUGUGUUUGUAAGAAACGUGAUAACAAAUGAGUGGCCAUAGCCUAAUGUAAGGACAAAGCAAAAUUACCAAUUAUGGAGAAACAUCCAGGGCUCUGGGCCUGAAUCUUUGAUUUCCUGUUUGGAUCUUAAAAACACAUGCAUUACUGGCUUCUGACUGCUCAUCUAUGAACGUGCUGUAGAAUCAACUACAGAUAUUUUUUCAGACACUGAUAAAACGUAUACAUUCACUUGUCAGCAAAAAAAUAAUAAUUACAUCAUUCUGAUCUUCUCUCUAAAAAAAAAAAAAAAAAAAAGAGGAAAAAAAUAAACAAAAGAAACCUUCUUCCAGCAAAGUAAAGUUGCAGUAUAUUAAAAAACCAGUGCGUUUUCUCUUUCAUACAGGCAUGAAGUGGAAAAGAGCAGAGAUGUCUGCAAUAUUUAAGCACUCUUUGAGCUACAAGACUAAUCAAUGUAGCUCCUGCCACAUACUUGAGAACUGCAGUUUAUUAAUACAUGUGUUUUUGCUCUGUUAAACAAAUAGUCAUGCCACUCAAGUUCAGUUGUAAUGAAAAAAAAAGAAGAAAGAAAGAAUGUUCUUUAUGGAUAAAGGGAGAGGGAUAGCCAAAUUCAAAAUACUGGUGAGAUUUCCCUCAUCUCAAAAAUUAUGGAAAAAUAAAAAAAAGAAAUCUGCCUCUGUGUAGCUCUGGGUCAUUUGGAAGGAAAGAGGGAUGCUAAAAAUAUUAGUAAAUUAGUAUAGGAGAUGCUGAUGAAAACAUCUGGUCAACUGGUUGUAUUGACAUAAAUCGGAGUACUCUAUGAAUGUUUCAAGCGUGGAAAUAGAAUUAUCAUUGGUCACCAAUUUUAAAUAUAUAUAUAUAUAUAUAUAUAAAGGUAUUUCUUUCCUUCAGUGUUCCCGUUUUGAAUUUAUGCAGUAUACCUGAGUGUUCCCCUCUUUAAUUCAGUGCACGUGAAUUGUCUACAACAGCUUAACUUUAUAUAUCAGGUAUGCUUCAGAAACUGAAAAAAUCUCCAGCUGAUUUAGCAGCUGAGGCAUUACUCAUCAGAAUAUCUGAUUACUGGCAUAUUAAGCAGCAGACACAGUGGAACAGAAUAAACAUGAAGCACUGCAUCUACCAACACAUAUAUUUUAAUUACUACUAACCAAACAAAUAAAUACCAGACCGGCUUCAUAUUCAAAAUUUAGUGCGUGAUCAAGGGAAACAGAAAUCUACAAUAUUGGUCCUUGUAAAAAUGUUGUCAUUAACAAGAAUUUCUCAGCUCCCAAGUUUUCAUUUCAAAUCUCUCGGUGUGCCUGUUGUAAUCAUUCCGGGUCUCCUAUUCCUAAUUUAAAACAAUGGCAGUGGUGCUCAGCCGCCCCUGCAGGAAGGCUGGCCGCAAACGGGAGACAAUGGCAGCGGCAGAGGUGUGACACCUGCCGCCUUCUCUCCUCAUCAAACUUUGUCCACAAGAAACCACUGAUUCUCAGACUCGUAACCCUUUAAUUGUCAAUGCUCUAACUGGAGAGCUGUAUAGAGCUGUAGAAAGCUGUUUCUUAAAAGAUAGCUGCUAAAUGUUGCCUUUUUCUUUCGAUAGCUUUAGGCCGCGUUUCCUAAUUCUGAGUAAUUCACUCUAAUACGUAGUCAUAAACCAUAAGAUAAUAAAUUAUUAAGGCCUGAUUUUUUUUUAUUUUUUUAUUUUUUCUGUUCAGAUCAAUCUUUCUUAAUUACUGCGUGGUCUGAAAAUACGAGAAUAUCGGGGCUGGAGAUUCAUUUGAACAGAUCUCCAAACAGGCUGUGCAUGGGUUAGGGCUUUGCGUUUUCCUUAUGCGUCAGAAAAUUUCCUCUUCCCUUUCGGUCUGUAAGCACCGAGCAGCUGUAAGCACCUCUCGCUACCUGGGCGCUUGGCUAUCCUAAUGCAGCCUGGUAGCCCUAAGAACCCACCGGUCAAAAUCAAUGACUUGCAGACAAGAUUUUCCUUCCAGUCUGCAGAAUGGAAGUUGUAGCAUUUCUGCACUCCUGGCAAGGGAGCUCCGUCUGUCUCCGAUCAUGGUUCUCGAUCUCUUGCCCACGUGCAGUACGGGUAACGCCAUUCUCCAGGCGUAUGUACGGACACCAUGGAAGAAAGGGUUUGAGCGAUGGAGACAACGGCUGGAAACUCCACCGACACAACGCGACUACAUGCUUGUGGAGCCAGUUCCUAGUUGCCUCACCGGCAGACGCCCGUAGCAUCUUGCAGCAUUCUCCAGACUGCGAAGACAAGAAGUCAGCUGCGUUAUGCUGUAGAAAUCGCAGGGUCUUCUCUAUGCAGGUGAAAAUGGGUGAGAAGGAGUACAACUGUUGGAUUUGUGGCAGGAAUUUUCAAACGAAUGAAAGCGUAAGGAUGAAAACAGAAGAAAAGUGUUCAGCAUGGACACAGUUAAAUUUCCAGGAGCAUAAGGAAACUGUUACAGAAAAGGUGACAAUAAUACAUCUUGUUGGAAAGGAGAACCAAAAUGAAGCAGCUGUACAUCAGAGAGAAAAUCUGAACUAAGAGACUGAUAACAAGUAUGCCGAGUAUUUUUUCUUGCUUACGGGUGAAAAAGCCAGCAAAGUCUCUGUUUGAAGACAAAGCACAUAAUAAUAUGAUCAUAAAAAUCUCCUAAUGGGGACUGUGUGAUGCACGGUAAAUGUAUUCCUUUCAGUACGUUAUUCCCUCAACAUGCAGGCUUUCAAGGUACCCUCAAACCGUACUGUGGAUAUGAUAGCAUCAGCACAGCUAGAUGUGAGCAGAGCUGGACCUCCUUUUUCCUUAUUAUUGCUAUUAUUUGUGCUCUUAUCAUUUCAUACUGAUCUCACGGCAACUCCUGGGAGGUUCAGACAGAAAAGUCACCCCAUUUUUCAAGAGGUGGUUUGCAGACAUUGCUAAGGCACCAUCUGUGCCCAGAGAAAAGCUGCAAUUGAUGGAAAUGAAGUGACAUUCAGAGGGUGGAGAGAGGAAUACAGCAAUUAUAGGUGGGGCUGGUAGUAUUACCUGUUAUUAAGGGCUUGCCUGACACUUCCCAUUUUAAGGCCUGCUCCUCGUGGUUUUUAAGUACUUAGUAAACUUUAAGCAUUUGUCUUUACCUAGACUUCUACCCUUGGCUGCUUCUGCUGCUCAGGUGUUAUUAACAGAAUUUAUUUCAUUUGGACGUCGUGGCAGGACUGGAGCUGGAGGAAGGAGCAGCAGCUUUAAAAACAUACAAAUAAAUGUUAUCCUUUUACCUUUCAGUAUAUUUUUUUUGUUUUGCUUUGCCAUAAGAACUCAAACAUUGUAAUCUCACCUUGUUUUCUUAUAUUCCUCCAGCUACCUGUCUGCACCCAUCUGUGAUCUCUUUUCUUAGAUUUGAGCCUGUCUUUCUGAUCUGCAUUUGUGCACUGCUUUAUACAGCUGGGUGCUGGUCCGUGACUGCUGCACCUAUGAGCUGCAGCCACGCAAACAAAUACUCUGGGUCUGCACAGGGCAAUUGUUUUGGAGAAGUAAAUAAAUAUUUCCUAUCCAGAAAUCCUUCACGGUCCCUUCCUGAUUGAUUGUGACUCCCAAAUGCUUUGGAUAGAAUUGCCUACCUUUCCCCUCACACUUAAAGUGCUGGAAGUGUUUCGUAUUCAAAUAUGAGUGGCUUUUCUUGUCAACAACAGCUCCUUUUAGAAAACACUGCUGCUAAAAAUAAAAAGACUGCUUUUCAGGCUCUGUUUAAACACAGUGCUAUUCAGGGAUCAAGCUGAGCAAAAGCUUAUUCCCUCUACCCAUGUGUUUUGAAACAGCACACAGAGGAAGGGAACGAGCCACUGAGUUUAUGUUUCAACUGGAAAUGCAAAAGAGAGAGCCAGAUUCAUUAAGACUGUUACACUAAGUCAAUAUGACCUUUCCCUUUGUAUUUUGCUUCCUUCGAUUGACUUGAAAUUGGACUAGGCGGUGAGCACUGUGCUCCAGACCUUUGAGUUUUUUCAGCAAAGGUCAUUGUUUUCAGCCAGAAGGGUGGUCAUGACUUCAGAAGUGAGUUCUGUGCUCCCCCACAAAGCCUCACAGGCCAUUUCACUCACCUCCUUUACAGCCAGUAUUUUUCACCCUCAUUUAACUACAGCUGGCAAAAUCUUACAUAAUUUGGCCUUUUAGAAUAAAUGCAAAAAUCACUGUUACAGCAGCAGGUUGCUAACAUUGCGCUUUCCACACCUUAAGCCUGAUCCUGCAAAGUAAGGAAUGUUUUGGGUCCUUUUGCUUCAGUUUUUAUUUUGAGUAUUUUUGUCUCCCAGCAAAGUGAACAGCCUUGGCAUUUGCGGCAUCUGAUCCUACAUUUAACCAAGUCAGUAACAAAAUGGUCGAAGGUCGAAAUGUUUGAAGUUACUCCUAUUGGGACUGAAGAUGGUUUCCUAAAUGCAGACUUGUGUUCUCUCCUUGUAACCUGGUUGAGGUCCAUGUAAUCUAUGGCACACUUUCUACAGCGUAAUCACAUGGAAAAGUCCUUGGCCAAAAAAAGUAAGCAAACAACACCAGAUCUCAGCAAACCACAAGCGUGCUUCAACAUCUGAGUGUGGGCAGACUCAGGACCUGAAGACUGUGCCAUGCAUCAACAUGGCACUAAACUAA